rnacentral:rRNA from 1 species
GUGAGGAAUUUUCCGCAAUGGGCGAAAGCCUGACGGAGCAAUGCCGCGUGAAGGAUGAAGGCCUAUGGGUUGUAAACUUCUUUUCUCAGAAAAGAAUUAUGACGGUAUCUGAGGAAUAAGCAUCGGCUAACUCUGUGCCAGCAGCCGCGGUAAGACAGAGGAUGCAAGCGUUAUCCGGAAUGAUUGGGCGUAAAGCGUCUGUAGGUUGUUUAAAAAGUAUUCUGUCAAAGAUUAGGGCUUAACCCUAGAUAGGCAGAAUAAACUUUUAAGCUAGAGUUUGGUAGAGGCAGAGGGAAUUCCCGGUGGAGCGGUGAAAUGCAUAGAUAUCGGGAGGAACACCAAAGGCGAAGGCACUCUGCUGGGCCAAUACUAACACUGAGAGACGAAAGCGAGGGGAGCAAAUGGGAUUAGAAACCCCUGUAGUCC